rnacentral:misc_RNA from 1 species
AUGACAAUCAAAAAUGAAAAAGUAAAUGAAGGAAAAAGAGAUGAAAGUGGUGUUGCCGAAGAAGCAACUGCGAAUAAUGAUUUAUGGGAAUCUGAUAUGUAUCCAGAAAGAAGAGGAGGGCAGUAUAAGAAGAGUUGGUUUAAAAGAUUAAUUGGUGCUCAGGGACGAGAAUCGAUAGACAAAAAUAAAUGUGAAGACAAUGUUUAUAGAUGUAUAAAAAAUAGUCCUAUAAUAAAACUUAUGAUGGGAGCAUUGAAAGGUUCUGGAUGUGAAAUAGAUAUUCGUCGACAUAUUUCUUGUGAGGUAUGUAAUCCAAUUGUAACUGGUGGAUACGAUUCAGAAUAUAAUCAGAUAGUUGUCUGUCAAAAUUCGGCGAGUAAUGAAAACAUGGUUCGGAGUGUUCUUUUACAUGAAAUGAUUCAUAUGUUUGACUACUGUCGUAACAAAGUAGAUGUAACUAAUAUCGAUCACAUAGCCUGUACAGAAAUUAGAGCAGCAAAUCUUGCACAUUGUAGUUUUAUGGGCUCACUUUUACAAGGUGAUUCAUCUUUUAUUAACAUAAAAGCAACACAUCAGAAUUGUGUAAAAACUAAGGCUAAGAUGUCUGUAAUGGGUGCACGCAAAGUAUCAGCAGAAGUUGCAGAAGCAGCUAUAGAAAGAGUAUUUACAAAAUGCUAUAAUGAUUUAGAACCAAUUGGCAGAAGAAUUCGUAGAAAUUCUUAUGAUAUGCCAAGAGCAUAUGCGGAAGGACAUUUAUAUGGAUAUGAUAUUGUUGAGCUCAGAGGAUACCAUUAAAGUCCUGAGGAUACGAUUGCGUGACUCAAAAUUAAACAAAGACAGAUUGCAGCGUGACAUUUGUCUAAUGAGAGAGAUUUCUCAUUAAUAAUAUUGAAAUUACAAUGUAUGCGCGCUCAUGAAUUGGACAAUCGCAAGUUAUCCGUGACCUUUCUUGGCCGCGAUGGCAUGUCAACCGCGGCCGAUAUUAAUGGCGCCGAACCGCAGUGGCGAGGUGAGAAAAUUUUAUGAACACCGUGUAAAAAGACGUUGAAAAUGUUCGUGCGCGGGGUCGACCGACAUUAUUUCAACACGUGAAUGUACGUAUGCGCUAAUACACACCGGGAAGAUUUAACUUGAGCAGUAAUUAGCUCGUUGUAGCGCACGUUGCUACACGUACGUAUCGCCUGGAUGUUACGUCAUGAAAUCGCAUCCAAUUUCUGAUUUAUGAGACAAUUGGAAAUGUCAACGAGCGAAAAAGAUGAUUAGAAACGGUUAUUAACGUUAAGAUAAACGAAUUAACCAUGAUGGAUAUAUAUAUCUUAGAUAAACGCGGUGGUUCUAAUAGAAUUCAGUAGAAGUUUAUGUGCAUAGAGUCAGAGUUAUUGAAAGUAUAUUGUAUUUCCCGUUAAUGUAAAAUAAAUUUGCAAUUACAAUGCAA